AUUUUUAAGAGAUGAGUCCACCUUCCCUGAUGCCACUUUUGCUUUACUGAGCAGCUGCCAGAAGUUUGCUGGCUCGGACUGUGGUUUUAGAAGACAUCUGGAUAUCCAGUUCUCAUUUAUGUUAGUAGGAAGAGGGUGUCCAAAGCACAGAGGAAGUUUUGGUAAUUUCUAUGGUAACUCAUUGGAGACAUUGUCAGCCUGACUGUGACCUCCUCAGCACUGAGAGAAACCAGAAAUAGCUCCAGUUCAGGCUUUUGAGUUUUGCCAUGAAACGGAUGUGAGGCCACAUCACUUUUUGAUUUUUAGGUUUGGUUUCAGGAGCAGGCAGGUUUUCAGUUCCCAGGCAAAGCAGAGUGGAGAGUUGCCCCAGCAGAGGCAGGGAGGAGACACAGGACGACACAGAGCUCUGAGGGGGACUGGAGAGGAGCCCAUGCUGGAGCUGUGGAAAAGGAGCAAAAAAAGCCCACCUUUGCUGCCUGGUAAGGCAGAAGAACACUGGUUGAAGGUUCCUACAGUUUUGCUGAUGGAAGUAAUGUAUGUCAGGUUGUACAGGACCAGAAAUACCUGAAUCCAAGGCCUUGCUGUACCAUAGCAUAAGAUCUUCAAGCCAAGGGAAAAUAGCAGAUUGCAAGGACAAGAAAGAAGGACUUCCUCUAUGUGUAUGCCAGAAGCCAAUUUUUCUUCCUCAAGGCACCCUAAAGGUUUAUGGACAGCUGGAUGACCCAAGUGAAAUGCACCCUUCACCCUGUGUCCUUCCCAGCUGAGGGUGAAUACAGGCAAUAAUGACAAUUCUUCUCACAACCCUGACCAGGUGGGUACCUGGUCCCAUAAGCAGUGAAUAGGUGAAGUUAGUUAGUUAGUUAGUUAGUUUGUUAGUUUGUUUGUUUGUUUUAACCAUACCAACAGUGCUUCCCCAGUUGGUGGGUAGAAUGAGUGUCUGCUCCCAGGAUUUGCAUGUUUUAGAUCCCAUGACCUCCUGAUUUCAGAGUUUAGGGCAAGGUAAAGGAGGGGUGACUAUUUCUCCUUCAGGUAGAAGAAACUGUUUGCAAGCGUAGAAGAUGCCAGCUUCCAAAAGGCCCAUUGUGCAUGUUCCCCAGAAGGUGAAUGGGAAUGCUGACAAUCUACCUGGAGCACUAAGCAGCUGGGGGUGAAAAAUCCUGAGGCAAAAUGCUUAAAAAUUCUCUUUAUAAAAAGACUGGUAUCAUGUAUAGUCUUUACAUUUUUAAUAACAAUCUGUAAAACUUGCUAAGAAAGCUUUUUGAAUACCAUGAUUUAUUGCAUCUUCAUGAACAUUGCUAGGAUAUUUUUUGAAUUUGUUUCAUUAAAGGAGAUAUUCUCAGCCAA
rnacentral:lncRNA from 1 species